UACGUAGGGUGCGAGCGUUGUCCGGAAUUACUGGGUGUAAAGGGUCCGCAGGCGGGCAGGCAAGUCAGAGGUGAAAGCCCCGGGCUCAACCUGGGAAUUGCAUUCGAGACUGAAUAGCUAGGGUACGGUAGAGGGAAGCGGAAUUUCCGGUGUAGCGGUGAAAUGCGUAGAUAUCGGAAGGAACAUCAGUGGCGAAAGCGGCUUCCUGGACCAGUACCGACGUUCAGGCACGAAAGCGUGGGGAGCAAACAGG
rnacentral:rRNA from 1 species